rnacentral:rRNA from 1 species
UACUCGAGUGGCGGACGGGUGAGUAACACGUGGGUGAUCUGCCCUGCACUCUGGGAUAAGCCUGGGAAACUGGGUCUAAUACCGGAUAGGACCAUGCUUUAGUGUGUGUGGUGGAAAGUUUUUUCGGUGUAGGAUGAGCCCGCGGCCUAUCAGCUUGUUGGUGGGGUAAUGGCCUACCAAGGCGGCGACGGGUAGCCGGACUGAGAGGUUGGUCGGCCACAUUGGGACUGAGAUACGGCCCAG